rnacentral:lncRNA from 1 species
CACACUGACGACCUGCCUGAUCACCGGCCUCACGCUCCGGUCAGGGUGCACACACCAGGGCCCGACGACCAUGACACGCUCCAUCUCCCCGUCGUCGAACUCGCCGUCGAGCCGGUGAUCUGCGGCGUCAAAAAUUCUCCCAUUGCCGUACAAAUCCCAGACCCAUUGAGCAAGGUGGAUCAUGUCUUGCCCUUGCUCAGCUUGGUGCUGUGGCACCAUAAUCGGCGGCCGGCCGCAGGCGAUCUCAAGGAGGACGAUACCAAAACUGUACACAUCGGACUCGGUGUUGGCCUUACCGGUGAUCAUGCACUCUGGAUCCAUGUGUGUAUGUUGUGA